AAGUUUGUGUAUUAAAAUUAAAAGAGUCGUGUUGACAAAAUUUAAAAAUAGUAAGAUUUCAGUUUAACACAACUAAUUCAAGUAAAACGAAUGAAAUAGAGUUGUGUAGCUUCUGCAGUACCGCGCUUUGGUCAAGAGGUGGAGUAAUAUCCGCACAUGCGCAAAUGAAAACUUUUCUGCUCUGUUUUUGUUAGGCGCCAUUUAAUGGGAAUCAGUUUAAACAAAGUUCAGGUGCAAAAAGAGAAAACAAGGGAAGAUUUUUCCUUGUGGACACACAUCCAGGUGAGAUUUGACUUUUUUAUGUAUAUAUAUUGAGGAUGUCAUUAGGUAAGGUUGGUUAAUCGCGAAUAAUCUCAUGUUUUGUAUGAUAUUUUCAUGAUGUUACCGUGUUCUUCAUGUGGGUUUCACGUUCAUGUUAGUUACGGUCUUGUUUUCCGCUUUAAUUUAAUUUAUAUUUGUUAAAAUGUGAUUAUUUGAUUUUAUUAUUCGAUUCUUAUUAUUAGGGUAAUAUUAAUCUUUGCCAUUUUGUUUGUCUUUGUCUGGCAGGAGGACGGCAGUGAUCGGAUAUUAGUAGGCCAUUCCUAGAGACAAACGUAAUAGACAAGGGGCUAAAGGCUAGGGGCCAUGAGUUCUGAGCUGGUGCAUGGGGAGGAAUGCUGUUGUACAUCAGCCUCAAGUUCUCAGUGCGGGAGAGAAGAAGACAGACUCUUCUACACCGGCCCCAGUAGGCCGUACAGGUGGCUAGUUGUCCUGUCAGAGGAAGAGAAGGCAUCUGUUCUUGAGGACUGCCACAAAAACCCUGGACCUGGCAACCACUGUGGUGUCAGAGGCACUCAAACAGGGUUAUGGUUGUAUAUUAAUAAACAAAGGCAUAGACACAGAGGUUUGCAUACUGGACCGAAGAAUCAUCCCAACUCCUUCAGGGAACACUUGAGCCUGUCUUCAGAGUUUCAAAAUCCACUGCCACCAAACUGUUGCCCAGCAGAAGAGUUGUGUUUGAAACAGACAUUAAUAAAGUGCAGCAGCCAACUAUUCUGAGAGACGUGUAUACAGCGUGGAACUGCGUACAGUCACAGAGACUCAUUCUUAAGGGAGGUGACGGAGCUGGAUUUUUCUGCUAAUGAGUAAUGAUGACCAACAAAAUGCCCUCAAAAGAGUCCUGUGUGAUGAAUUCCUGUGGGAUGACUGUGGGAUGACUUUAUAUUUAUUUUUGAAUGUCAAGAGGACAUGGAAACAUGUUUGUCCUACUGCAUUGAUGAAAAAGGCUUGAA